GACGAACGCUGGCGGCGUGCUUAACACAUGCAAGUCGAACGGAAAGGCCCUGCUUUUGUGGGGUGCUCGAGUGGCGAACGGGUGAGUAACACGUGAGUAACCUGCCCUUGACUUUGGGAUAACUUCAGGAAACUGGGGCUAAUACCGGAUAGGAGCUCCUGCUGCAUGGUGGGGGUUGGAAAGUUUCGGCGGUUGGGGAUGGACUCGCGGCUUAUCAGCUUGUUGGUGGGGUAGUGGCUUACCAAGGCUUUGACGGGUAGCCGGCCUGAGAGGGUGACCGGCGACAUUGGGACUGAGAUACGGCCCAGACUCCUACGGGAGGCAGCAGGGGGGAAUAUUGCACAAUGGGCGGAAGCCUGAUGCAGCAACGCCGCGUGCGGGAUGACGGCCUUCGGGUGGUAAACCGCUUUCGCCGGUGACGAAGCGUGAGUGACGGUAAUGGGUAAAGAAGCACCGGCUAACUACGUG
rnacentral:rRNA from 1 species